AAUCCGUGGUGCGAGCAUUUUUGAAUUAACAUUUUGAAAUGUUCCCAUGCCUCAUGAAAACUUUCCCCCUCCAUCUGUCUAAAGUCUGUAAUCUUUUUUCUUAGUUG
rfam:Gossypium hirsutum cultivar TM-1 chromosome 12, whole genome shotgun sequence